GACGAACGCUGGCGGCGUGCUUAACACAUGCAAGUCGAACGGAAAGGCCCAGCUUGCUGGGUACUCGAGUGGCGAACGGGUGAGUAACACGUGGGUGAUCUGCCCUGGACUCUGGGAUAAGCCUGGGAAACUGGGUCUAAUACCGGAUAUGACCUUACAUCGCAUGGUGUUUGGUGGAAAGCUUUUGCGGUUCAGGAUGGGCCCGCGGCCUAUCAGCUUGUUGGUGGGGUAAUGGCCUACCAAGGCGACGACGGGUAGCCGACCUGAGAGGGUGAACGGCCACACUGGGACUGAGACACGGCCCAGACUCCUACGGGAGGCAGCAGUGGGGAAUAUUGCACAAUGGGCGCAAGCCUGAUGCAGCGACGCCGCGUGAGGGAUGACGGCCUUCGGGUUGUAAACCUCUUUCACCAGGGACGAAGCGUGAGUGACGGUACCUGGAGAAGAAGCACCGGCCAACUACGUG
rnacentral:rRNA from 1 species